rnacentral:rRNA from 1 species
GAUGAACGCUGGCGGCGUGCCUAAUACAUGCAAGUCGAGCGAACAGACGAGAGUGCUUGCACUCUCUGACGUUAGCGGCGGACGGGUGAGUAACACGUGGGUAACCUACCUAUAAGACUGGGAUAACUUCGGGAAACCGGAGCUAAUACCGGAUAAUAUUUAGCUUCGCAUGACGCAAUAGUGAAAGACGGUUCUGCUGUCACUUAUAGAUGGACCCGCGGUGUAUUAGCUAGUUGGUGAGGUAACGGCUCACCAAGGCAACGAUACAUAGCCGACCUGAGAGGGUGAUCGGCCACACUGGGACUGAGACACGGACCAGACUCCUACGGGAGGCAGCAGUAGGGAAUCUUCCGCAAUGGACGAAAGUCUGACGGAGCAAUGCCGCGUGAGUGAAGAAGGUUUUCGGAUCGUAAAACUCUGUUGUAAGGGAAGAACAAGUACGUUAGUAACUGAACGUACCUUGACGGUACCUGAACAGAAAGCCACGGCUAACUACGUG